AAGUCGAACGGUAACGACGGAAGCUUGCUUCCGGGCGACGAGUGGCGGACGGGUGAGUAAUACUUAGGAAUCUGCCCAGUAGUGGGGGACAACUCGGGGAAACCCGAGCUAAUACCGCAUACGCCCUACGGGGGAAAGCGGGGGAUCUUCGGACCUCGCGCUAUUGGAUGAGCCUAAGUCAGAUUAGCUUGUUGGUAGGGUAAAGGCCUACCAAGGCAACGAUCUGUAGCUGGUCUGAGAGGACGAUCAGCCACACUGGAACUGAGACACGGUCCAGACUCCUACGGGAGGCAGCAGUGGGGAAUAUUGGACAAUGGGCGAAAGCCUGAUCCAGCAAUGCCGCGUGUGUGAAGAAGGCCUGCGGGUUGUAAAGCACUUUCAGUAGAGAAGAAAAGCUUACGGCAAAUAUCCGUGAGUCUUGACGUAACCUACAGAAGAAGCACCGGCUAACUCCGUGCCAGCAGCCGCGGUAAUACGGAGGGUGCAAGCGUUAAUCGGAAUUACUGGGCGUAAAGCGCGCGUAGGCGGUUUUGUAAGUCGGAUGUGAAAGCCCAGGGCUUAACCUUGGAAUUGCAUUCGAUACUGCUUGACUAGAGUAUGGUA
rnacentral:rRNA from 1 species